rnacentral:rRNA from 1 species
UCGGGAAUUUUGGGCAAUGGGCGAAAGCCUGACCCAGCAACGCCGCGUGUGGGAUGAAGGCCCUCGGGUCGUAAACCACUGUCAGGAGGAAAGAAAAGUCGGCCGGAUAAUACUCGGUCGACCUGACGGUACCUCCAAAGGAAGCACCGGCUAACUCCGUGCCAGCAGCCGCGGUAAUACGGAGGGUGCAAGCGUUGUUCGGAAUUACUGGGCGUAAAGCGCGUGUAGGUGGUCGAGUAAGUCGAAUGUGAAAGCCCCGGGCUCAACCCGGGAAGUGCAUCCGAAACUGCUCGACUAGAGUCCCGGAGAGGAAGGCAGAAUUCCCAAUGUAGGGGUGAAAUCCGUAGAUAUUGGGAGGAAUACCGGUGGCGAAGGCGGCCUUCUGGACGGUGACUGACACUCAGACGCGAAAGCGUGGGGAGCAAACAGGAUUAGAUACCCAGGUAGUCCCUGAGCGGGCUGGCAAGGCGCAU